GGAGGAGCUGUAGUUCAGUAGAAGAGCACCUUCUUGACAUGCAGAAGGUGCCAGGUUCAAUCCCCAGCUUCUCCA
rnacentral:tRNA from 1 species